rnacentral:rRNA from 1 species
UAGGGAAUCUUCCACAAUGGACGAGAGUCUGAUGGAGCAACGCCGCGUGAGUGAAGAAGGGUUUCGGCUCGUAAAGCUCUGUUGUUAAAGAAGAACACGUAUGAGAGUAACUGUUCAUACGUUGACGGUAUUUAACCAGAAAGUCACGGCUAACUACGUGCCGG